rnacentral:rRNA from 1 species
AGAGUUUGAUCAUGGCUCAGGAUGAACGCUAGCGGCAGGCCUAAUACAUGCAAGUCGAACGGUGGUAGCAAUACCAUAGUGGCGCACGGGUGCGUAACGCGUAGCCAACCUACCCGAAUCUGGGGGAUAGCCCGCCGAAAGGCGGAUUAAUACCGCAUAAAACUGCAGCGCGGCAUCGCGUAACAGUUAAAGAUUUAUUGGAUUCGGAUGGGGCUGCGUGCCAUUAGCUAGUUGGGGGGGUAACGGCCCACCAAGGCGACGAUGGCUAGGGGAGCUGAGAGGCUGGUCCCCCACACGGGCACUGAGAUACGGGCCCGACUCCUACGGGAGGCAGCAGUAGGGAAUAUUGGGCAAUGGGCGAGAGCCUGACCCAGCCAUGCCGCGUGCAGGAUGAAGGCUUUCUGAGUCGUAAACUGCUUUUGCCAGGGAAGAAAAAAGGGCGUGCGCGCUCUACUGACGGUACCUGGUGAAUAAGCACCGGCUAACUCCGUGCCAGCAGCCGCGGUAAUACGGAGGGUGCAAGCGUUGUCCGGAUUUAUUGGGUUUAAAGGGUGCGUAGGCGGCCGAUUAAGUCUGGGGUGAAAGCCCGUUGCUCAACAACGGAACUGCCCUGGAAACUGGUCGGCUUGAGUACAGACGAGGGUGGCGGAAUGGAUGCUGUAGCGGUGAAAUGCAUAGAUAGCAUCCAGAACCCCGAUUGCGAAGGCAGCUGCCUAGACUGUAACUGACGCUGAGGCACGAAAGCGUGGGGAGCGAACAGGAUUAGAUACCCUGGUAGUCC